rfam:Agrilus planipennis Contig24241, whole genome shotgun sequence.
UGAGAUAGAGGGGUUUUAGUCGGUAGGUCAGAGGAUAUCUUCCUCGGGAAUCCGACACUACCCAGUCGUACGGACUGCUGGGUAUCUUUUGAAGAUUUCCCCUCU